rnacentral:tRNA from 1 species
CGGGACGUAGCGCAGUUUGGUUUAGCGCGCUUGCUUCGGGAGCAAGAGGUCGGCGGUUCGAAUCCGCCCGUCCCGACCA